GGGGACCCGGGAACUCGUGCCAAGUGACUGGUGCUCACUUUAGGCUCCUGCUACCUUCUGCGGGCGGAACGUGGGUGUCCCGGGAAGGGACGGACCCCAUCUCUACUAUGCCGCAAGCGCGUUGUGUCAACAGGCUGGCUGUGGACGGCCCGAUGAGCGUUACUUGAUUUUGUACUUUCGGCCACCUCCAAUUUUCUCAGAACGCAACAUAAGAAAAAAAAAACUAACAGCAGUGUGUGCAGGAGAGCUUCGAAAAUAUGGGUGCUGAUGUUUGGUCACUGCUAUGGGGGAGGUCGCAGAGCUGAGAGUUGUCGGAGGACGUUUUCUGUCCUGUCUAGGAUUCUGGAAUUGAACCUGGGUUCCCACGCUUGUGCAGCCGUCUCCCUGAAGUAGCCGCUCUUCUGAAGUCAGCUCUGCCUUCUACUUGACACGCCUUCUCACUUCAUUUUCUUACUGCGUUUGCCUCCAUUCAGUGUUGAUAUUUUAAAAUUGAAAUCUGUUAUUAUUUUGUCAUGUAGCCCAGGCUGGCCAAGAUCUUGCCUCCCUUUAAGCUUAUUUUAGGAAAAUUAUGCUUACUUGUAGGGUGCUUGUGACAGUGUCACCCAUACACACACUGUAUGACAUUAGAUUAUGCUAAGCCUGCCAUCUCUAUAAAUUCUUAGUUGUGAAACUCAAA
ensembl:lincRNA 2210406O10Rik RIKEN cDNA 2210406O10 gene